CCUACGGGUGGCAGCAGUGGGGGAUAUUGCACAAUGGGGGGAACCCUGAUGCAGCGACGCCGCGUGGGUGAAGGAGUGCUUCGGCAUGUAAAGCCCUAUCGGCAGGGAAGAAGCAAGACGGUACCUGACUAAGAAGCCCCGGCUAACUACGUGCCAGCAGCCGCGGUAAUACGUAGGGGGCGAGCGUUAUCCGGAUUCACUGGGUGUAAAGGGAGCGUAGACGGCCAUGCAAGCCAGGGGUGAAAGCCCGGGGCCCAACCCCGGGACUGCCCUUGGAACUGCAUGGCUGGAGUGCGGGAGGGGCAGGCGGAAUUCCUGGUGUAGCGGUGAAAUGCGUAGAUAUCACACAGAACACCGAUUGCGAAGGCAUCUCACGAAUCCGCGAUUGACGCUGAUGCACGAAAGCGUGGGUAUCAAACAGGAUUAGAUACCCGAGUAGUC
rnacentral:rRNA from 1 species